rnacentral:rRNA from 1 species
CGUUCCCGGGUCUUGUACACACCGCCCGUCACACCACGAAAGUCAGCAACCACCCGAAGCCGGUGGCCUAACCCGCAACGGGAAGGAGCCGUCGAAGGUGGGGCCGGCGAUUGGGUG